rnacentral:misc_RNA from 1 species
GUACUCUCACACUUCUGAUCCUUUGGAUUGGGAGCGGUGGACUUGGGUGCUGCUGCUUUACCGGUGGCUCACCUCAAAUGCAUUAGUGCACCUCUUGGUUGGACAUAGUACGGCGUGAUAAGUGUCUUUGCUGGCACCUCUUGCGAGGGUGGCUGAUCAGGAGCUCUGUGCUUCCAACCGUCUUUCAGACAACAACUGACA